AACUAACCCCCUUCCCCCUAACCCUAAUCCCCUAAAUGGGCAAACGGCAUUAACCCUCCUUCAAUCUUUCUCACCUCAUCUGCUCAUCACAACGUAGUUGAAGAAAACCUCACCUCACAUCAACUCACCGCGGGCCUGUCGUCUUCUUCAUCUCGCCGGAAAAUGGUGCGCCUCCAAUGACAUCUCAACCUCACCUCACCGUCGCGUUUUGGGUCGCAAGCCGUCCCCUUCGUCGCGGCUCCACGUCGUCGUCGUCGUCGUCGUCGCCGUCAUCGCGUCCUCUCCGUCCUCUGCGUCCUCUCUCGGACUAUCGGACAGUUUGUGCUUGUUUCGUUGGCUGGGUGGGGCGCAUUCAUCUAUGGGAAUUGCAAGUUCUUCACUAGAGGCAAGGGCAACAAAGAAGAGAAAGUUGGAGAAGCACCAAACAAGGCUUGAGGUUGUUACUCCAUAGAAGCGAUAUACCAGUUGCUUAAUAAGUUGCCCUACUUGGAUUUAGUUAUAGGUUCCUUGCCACCGUCGUCCCCAGGUUCUCCCUUCUCGGCGCCUCCGCUUCUUCCUCUUCCCCAGGUCCAGAACCCAGGUAGCUCGGCACGUCGUCCACUGGCUUCUCUCUUCGUGGCUUGGAGGUUGGAGCAGCUUGCCGUUUGCCGUGGUUGCCGUCUGUGUCUCCGUCGAAGGUGAGUGGCCGUGCUUUGCUUCUUCCUUUUAUGGGGCGUUGAAUGAACCAGUUCCAACUUUCUCUAUUGGAGAAUGGUUCAAUAUCCAGAAACUCAUGAAUGCAAAUGCGUACACGUAGCCAUCCUCGAUGGGUGUGGCCGUAACAGCCCACCUCCUCUUGGAACUAAGGUGCAUCACCAUUUGCCUUCGCCCGACUCCUGAAA